rnacentral:lncRNA from 1 species
CCACAUCAUCCCCUUCUAUUUUCUCCGUAGAAUUCAGAACUCCCUUCAUCCAUAUUAAGAUCUUGAUCUAGCAAGGAAAAUCCUAUUUCCCGUAGUGCUGCUCCUUCCAGAAGCAUGGAAAACCAGAAUGACGAAGAGGAAAGGCUGGCUGCCCUCUGCAGAAGUCUGGGAGAUUUAUGGUCUGAGGAAGAUGUGGUGGAUAUCCCAGGUGAAAUUCCUGCAGAAAACCUGUUAGCAAGUCGUAAAACUUUAUAUGGAAAGUUCUUUCAAAAGUCUAGUGUCAACUUUACUGCUUUUAUCACCACCAUGAAAAAAGUUUGGAGGAACGAAAGCUUUACCUGUGCUGUAAUAGAGCCUGGAUACUACUCCUUUUCCUUCCAGUCGGAGGCUGAAAAACAACGAAUAUUAGACACAGGGCCAUGGUCUUUCUCAAACAACUUAUUGGUUCUAAAACAGUGCGAUCCCGAUACCCCUGAUAUCUGUUAUGAUUUCAAUCACUGUGAAUUCUGGGUAAAUCUAGUUGGCCUCCCCUAUGGGAGAGUUACAUAUGAGGCAGUUAUGGGCAUUGCAUCAAAAAUCGGAGAGGUCGUGGAAGUGCAACUAGAAGCGAAAUGGAGCAAUAGUCAUAAGAUGGGUAGGGCUAGAAUUAAGCUGAAUUUGGAAGCUCCACUGAAAACUGGAGUGAUUGUAAAUCUUGACAACAAAAGUUUGUGGGUAGAAUUCAAGUAUGAAAGGCUCCCGCAUUAUUGCUAUACAUGUGGGAGAAUUGGCCAUUAUGCGACAUUUUGCCAAGAGAUACCAUAUGAAGAAACUGGGCUAGCAAAGAGCUUACCAGGCCGCUAUGGACAUUGGCUAAGAGCGGAAGCACGGGAACUUAGUCCAUACGGGAAAAUCUUCUAUGGUAAACAAAAAUAUCAACACGAGGAAGAGGAGAGUGUGCCCGAAACUCCCAUUCCA